GACGAACGCUGGCGGCGUGCCUAAUACAUGCAAGUUGAGCGCUGAAGGUUGGUACUUGUACCAACUGGAUGAGCAGCGAACGGGUGAGUAACGCGUGGGGAAUCUGCCUUUGAGCGGGGGACAACAUUUGGAAACGAAUGCUAAUACCGCAUAAAAACUUUAAACACAAGUUUUAAGUUUGAAAGAUGCAAUUGCAUCACUCAAAGAUGAUCCCGCGUUGUAUUAGCUAGUUGGUGAGGUAAAGGCUCACCAAGGCGAUGAUACAUAGCCGACCUGAGAGGGUGAUCGGACACAGUGGGACUGAGACACGGCCCAAACUCCUACGGGAGGCAGCAGUAGGGAAUCUUCGGCAAUGGACGAAAGUCUGACCGAGCAACGCCGCGUGAGUGAAGAAGGUUUUCGGAUCGUAAAACUCUGUUGGUAGAGAAGAACGUUGGUGAGAGUGGAAAGCUCAUCAAGUGACGGUAACUACCCAGAAAGGGACGGCUAACUACGUG
rnacentral:rRNA from 1 species